rnacentral:rRNA from 1 species
GACGUAGGGCGCGAGCGUUGUCCGGAUUUAUUGGGCGUAAAGAGCUCGUAGGCGGCUUGUCGCGUCGGCUGUGAAAACCCGGGGGCUCAACCCCCGGGCCUGCAGUCGAUACGGGCAGGCUAGAGUCCGGCAGGGGAGACUGGAAUUCCUGGUGUAGCGGUGAAAUGCGCAGAUAUCAGGAGGAACACCGGUGGCGAAGGCGGGACUCUGGGCCGAUACUGACGCUGAGGAGCGAAAGCGUGGGGAGCAAACAGG